AUGUACAUGCAUACAGACUGUAUACAUAUUUCAGUUUAUUGUGUGCACAGAAUAUCAUGCUCUCACACUCAGGAACACAGCGUGGUCCACAGCCCAGGGCCCCAGCUGGCCUUGGCCUUUGGCUGGUUUUGUGCAGCACUGUUGCCUGACCUUGGCUCACUGUCACUGAGAAGGCUGUCACUGAGCUCUGAGAGUCUGUAAACUGAAACCGUGUAAGAUAAGAAAAGUAAAAACAGGCAGAACUGAAUGUGCUGAGCUGGGAAGACUGUCUUGGGGACUGGGGACAAACACUGACAUGGAAUCUAUAAAACCUGAGGGAGAAAUCAGAGACAUAGAAGAUGGCAUCUCUGCAACUAUGAGGACUUGUACUGAAGUACUGGGGUAUUUUAACAUGACAAAUGCUUUUCUUAUCAAAUAUAAAGUCUGCAACACCAAUAAAAAGUAACAGAAAUCACCUCAUAUGCUUUUCUCUUCUCUCCCCCUCUCUCUUUUCCUUUUCCACAUUUUUCCUGCGCUGAUCCUCAUCUCGUCAGCUCCCUCUGACCCAUCUGAAAUACGCUUCUCUGAUCAGCCUCUGGUCAAAAGUGCCUCUUGAUACCUUUUACUGCUCUGCUCUUGUUUCACUCCAUGAAAUCACGUGAAUCACAUAAACCCCCAAGGCGCACUUGGCACGUGGUACUGUUGUCUCCAGUGUCCACACUGGGAUGGUGGUGUGGCCCUGGAGCGCUGCAGUGACCAGCCAGCCCUCUGCACUGCCACGCAGGUGCCCAGCUUGGCAGCAGGGCUGGAGGGGUGAGAACAACAUUCCCAGCCCCAAUGUGGUUAAGCAAGCAGAAGGACAUUUGACAAAAGGGACUACCUGAACAAUUUAAGCUGGACUGCAAACAGAAGAGAAGUAAUUCAUUGCUGCAAGAUAAAACCAUCAGUAUAAAGUAACUGCUAGAAAUCUUCAUCGUGCCCUAGGAAGGAGUCCAGGUGCUUCUAUGCCACAAGAAGUUUAAACAAUGUUCAGCUGUGAACUAGGACCCAGAAUAAGGAUGCAAAGCAAAUGCCUGUUGACAUAUACAACCUGUCCCAGGGGAAUGAGAGUGCAUUAGAGGACUGGGAAGAUCCCUACAACCAAACUGCAGGGUAAAAGAGCUACUCCAAGAAGUGACUCUGUCCAAAUGUGAACAUGAACAGAACAUCAUGCUUUCCAAAGCAAUUACAAUUCUCAUUCACUCUUUCCAUCUCCCUCAUGCUUGCUGUGUGUAAUGAAGCUGAAAGACAACAAGGGACAUGGUCACUGGAGAUACUUGUCAAGCCUGUGACUGAAGCUACUGAAGUUCUCUACUGAUAUGCCACGGGAAAGCUUGGGUAAAGAAGUGCUACACUUCCAAAGUCAAACAUUCAGUUACUAGGAAAUAACCAAGUCAUAUCUUCCAAGGCAGCCUUAGCUCAGUUUUCCUAUUUAUGCACGUUAUAAUAUAGUAUUUAAUUAUGUCACCACAGAUAAGUUAUUCCUGAAAUUUCCUCCUAAUAACUUCUCUGAGCAUUUGUGUAUCUAUGUAGCUCUUAGAGCUGGGCCUUUAUUUCUCCCAGAAAGCACUGUAUUAUAACCCAGCAGAGAGAGAUUUGAUCUAAACUCUUGAUUUCCUAAAGUCUCUGAGGCAAAGUCAACCUGGCAUGACAGCCCUUAGUGAGGAGAGCUGGGUGCUUGGCCCACAAAGUGGAGCUAUGUGUCUGUCUGUCCCAUCCACUUCUCCCUUACAUUUUGCUAGAAGUACAGUGACCAAAGUGAUGGCUCAGUGCCUCCCCAGCAAUUCAGCCCCACCACUUGCUGAUUAACCAAAAGCCCCUUGCCCAGUUGGAAGAGCCCAUCCAUGCUAGCUGAGGAUUGAAGAUUUUAUUUUGCUCUAGAGAAAGGAAAACUGCGGUGUGGUUUUAAAUCCUUUCGCAGAGGAAGAGUAUAGAGCAGGUGGCCAAACAUGCUAAGGAGGACUUUGGACUCAGGCUAUGGCUGGUCUGAGACUGGGAGGUGUCAGGAAACACCUUGCAAAACACUGGGAGUAAGAGUGGACAGCAGCUCUGCAAUUUUCAUUUUCCUUUCGGCAGUAGCUAAUUAGUCUCUGUGUAGGGAACAGGUUCCCAGUGAAAAGCAAAGCCCUGCACUGGCUGUUACCAGGCAAUUAUUCAUUGCCAUUCAAGCAAUUAUUGCUGCCUCUGGGACAGCAGCUACUUUCUACUUUGAGAAACACCGGAGACAACUUUCCAUUAAGCAGUCACUCUUGUUUACAGGAAAAUGCACAAAUAAAUAAUAGAAAUAAUCUACCAAGGCAAAAUUUGAUCGCUUUGAUUUUUAAGUGAAAAACCUAAGGGAAGACACUGAUGUAGAAAACACUGAAGGUUUUUGGCUCUACCUGGAGAAAAAUAAAACCUCUAAAUUGUUGAAAGCCUUUUCUCUAAAAGAUUUACCUUAUGUUUUCAAAAAUGAUGAUAACCUCUCCAAAUAGGUAGAAAAAUAUCGGUAAUCUCAAGUUUGUGGGGGAACAAAGAACUUGCAUAGCUUUUCUUUCAAAGACUUAGUUGCUUUCAAGUGUUCCAGUUGCUGAUUAUUUCAAUAGGAGAG